rnacentral:lncRNA from 1 species
UAGCAAAUAGUUGAGCAUAUCAAAGAUAGCAAAUAGUUCAACAUAACCAACACAAGUUUUGAAGUUCAAACACCAAGUUCGACAUGCCCGGAUACUAGAAGGGAAGCAAGUGACCAUUAUCACUUCCUACCCUCUUGGAUCCACGCUCCUCGUUUCUCUUUGAGUGACCCUCGUUUCUUUCUUUCAUUGUUCAACGACGAGGAAACUCUUUCUAGAGCGGUGAUGGACUCCAAAUCUUCUUGUGUUGAUGAAACUUCCUUUUGUUCUGGGUUGGCUAAGUGGGUGGAUAUCCGUCAUCCUCAUCGCACUCCUCCUCGUCACCCUUGUCGUACCCCUCCUCGUCACCCUCAUCACUUCCCUCAGCUUCCUCAACAUCCUCAUCUUCCUCGGGCUCAUCCACAUGGCGAGACGACGAGGUGGCACAGCUAGAGAAGUUGCGCCGGCAUGGUGAGACGACGAAGUGGCACAACUAGAGGAAGCUGCGAUAGCAUGGCUCGAGGAAGCGACGAUAUGUCAAAAACACGAUAUGGAUCAAGGUUAUGGUUACUUCAAGGUUAUGGCUAGGCUCAAACUUACUUUCAUCACUUCCCUCAACGCCGAGUCAGAUUCCACACAUCCAUGAAACAAUACAACAUAUCCACACAUCAUC